rnacentral:tRNA from 1 species
GCGCCCGUAGCUCAGCAGGAUAGAGCAUUCGCCUCCUAAGCGAAAGGUCGCGCGUUCGAAUCGCGCUGGGCGCGCCA